rnacentral:rRNA from 1 species
CCCUUAGAUGUUCUGGGCCGCACGCGCACUACACUGAUGCAUUCAACGAGUCUAAAACCUGCUCUGAUAGGGGUGGGUAAUCUUUUGAAUGUGCAUCGUGAUUGGGAUAGAUGAUUGAAAUUUUUCAUCUUCAACGAGGAAUGCCUAGUAAACGCAAGUCAUCAGCUUGCAUUGAUUACGUCCCUGCCCUUUGUACACACCGCCCGUCGUUCCUACCGAUUGAAUGAUCCGAUGAAUAUCAUGGAUUGAGGAUGCAAGUAGGUUCACCUAUCUUCAUCUUCGAGAAGUGAAGUAAAUCUUAUCAUUUAGAGGAAGGAGAAGUCGUAACA